UUAGGCAGUGUACACGUGAGCCGUGAAACACGUGUGUCAGCUGUCUUUCGCGGUGGAACAGUGUCGCUCGCACCAGAAACACCGCAGCGAGUAAAGUGUCGAGUCGAGACUAGUUCUUCGGGGAGAUCGUUCAACGAAAAAUAAUCGCCGAAACAAGAGAAAGAGGGAGAUCCUUUCGUGCAACGAUCUUUGAAACGUGUGUUUUAUAGUUACCAGUAGUUGCGUAGUGCACGAGAUUUUAACGAGAAACAAGCAAACACAUAGAGAAAUAUUGGUAUUUGGAAAACGUCGCAUUAUUGAGAGCGACAACUUGACCGGGAAACCGAAUCGAAUGCUGGCGGCGAGCCACUGCGAAAGUAAAUGGGUUUCGCUUCCAAAGAACACGAUUCUCCAUCGCAGACAUUUCGUUCCAUCCGUCAGCUUGUGCCCGGCGAUUCGCGCUCAUUCGCAGAUCACCGUCCUUGAGGAACAUAAAAUUCAGUCACAACCGGGAUAAUAGAUGCUGGCACUAAUGAGCACUGUAAAGCCUGAUUCCUUGGACGUCGACAAUGAUAAGUUCAAAUCCAUCAUGAAAAUAUCAAGCAAAGGCUCGAUUGAACAGAGGAGGGAUCGUUCCGGAGGAAGCGAUGAGGACUCUGCGAAAACUUUGCAACUUUUACGAAUUAAGGGAUUUCAUCGAUUGUUACCUGAAGGAAUUAAGGCGUUGGUCAAUUACUGCCGAUACCUACAAGAAUUAUCAUUGCCUUAUUCAUUGCUUAGUGACGAAUUGUUAUUAGCCUUGAGCUCUGAAAAACAAAUGCAACUGGAAACCCUGCGAUUGGAAGUGCACCCAGAAACAAAACCAUUUCCGCGAGUCAGCGAUAAAGCUUGGUUUACCUUUUCCAGCCACUUGCCGAACAUAAAUCUUAUGCUAUUGUCCUACAUGACGAGCGAAGACGAUCAGAGUCCAUUAUUCGCGCCGUACGUUCCUAUAACGCACUUAUACUUCGGGGAAGCACCGUCGGAAGCAACUAUAUUACGUAUCAGCUAUCAAUGUCCCCGGUUGAUCGAGCUAGUAAUUGCAGCUUAUGGACCAGGUUUACUUGAUCACGCAUUACUCUCUGUCGCUCAAAGAUGUCCACGUCUAAGCGCCGUGGGUUUGGGUGAUUGCGAAAUCACUUGCUCAGGAUUGUUGGAAUUUGUUACACUCUGUGCAAAACGUUUGCGAAUAUUGUACGUUUGGGAAACGUCAUUGAUAGAGGAUUCAGAACUUGACAUCGCCAAACUAUCGAAGAAUGUGUCAUUGCUCCUUGGUCGUACUUGGGUACCUGAAUAUAUACCAUUAUGUUGAAACUUAAUGAAUGACCGAAGCGAUUCGUUACGAUGGAAAUUCAGUUAAUGGCCGACAAUAGUUUGCGCAUGUAACCAAAAAGUGUGCGUUUCCAAUAAUCUUAGGAUUGAUGUUUACAAAAAAAGCUUUUCCGAAGACAACGUUUUAAAUAUAUGAUUGAAGUAAAAAAAAAAAUCUUCAUGCUUUUUGAUCCAUCGUAAUGCUGAAAAUGGGAUUUAACACUUGUUCCAAGAAGAAUGCGGGGAAAAAUGUUAUUAUCAGUUAUCACGUUUUUCAUUGAUAUAAUGUAAAAUCCAAUACGAUCGGAUGCGAUCUAUAUGUACAAAAAGAA